rnacentral:lncRNA from 1 species
GUCACCAUCCUCAGCAAACUGGGUGCUGGAUUUAGAGGAGCACAUUGAGGUCAGUCAAGUGGAUGUGUUUCCCUUAGCAAUAACAAGCUUGAUGUCAAAACACUCACAAAAAGAUGGCCAAAGAACUUUUCCUUAUUCUGUUUUUUUUUUUGUUAUCAUUUUUGUAUCUUCUCGUAAAUGGUGGAUAUGAAUCAUGAUGGUUAAGGUUUUGAUAUAGACUACCGAGUGAUAGAUUAACACUUUUGUCGCAAGACAAAAAGACAUAGGAGUAUAUUCCUGACCCGGG